CCUACGGGUGGCAGCAGUGAGGAAUAUUGGUCAAUGGACGAGAGUCUGAACCAGCCAAGUAGCGUGAAGGAUGACUGCCCUAUGGGUUGUAAACUUCUUUUAUAUGGGAAUAAAAUGUUCCACGUGUGGGAUUUUGUAUGUACCAUAUGAAUAAGGAUCGGCUAACUCCGUGCCAGCAGCCGCGGUAAUACGGAGGAUCCGAGCGUUAUCCGGAUUUAUUGGGUUUAAAGGGAGCGUAGGUGGAGUGUUAAGUCAGUUGUGAAAGUUUGCGGCUCAACCGUAAAAUUGCAGUUGAAACUGGCAGUCUUGAGUAGAGUAGAGGUGGGCGGAAUUCGUGGUGUAGCGGUGAAAUGCUUAGAUAUCACGAAGAACUCCGAUUGCGAAGGCAGUUCACUGGACUGCAACUGACACUGAGGCUCGAAAGUGUGGGUAUCAAACAGGAUUAGAUACCCCAGUAGUC
rnacentral:rRNA from 1 species